GUCGCACCUACCGAUUGAAUGGUCCGGUGAGGCCUCGGGAUUGUGGCCUGGUAGCUUUAUUGGUACCAGGCCGUGAGAACUUGUCCAAACCUUAUCAUUUAGAGGAAGGUG
rnacentral:rRNA from 1 species